rnacentral:lncRNA from 1 species
UCAAACUUCAGGCCGAGGUAACAAUAGCCGCGACAAAGUGCAAAACCAUUACGUUCUCGAAAAAUUUCCACACGAACAUGUCACCGCUUGAAAGUGACGUGAAAGGAACUAAACACUGCAUGAGAAUAAAACGGAAGAAAGGUCGUGAUCCACGCAAACACGAGGAGAGUAUUCUACGUUACAGCUUAAAAGUGAGAUGGUCUCUUCAUCCUUGGAAAGUUCGCAUUAGCAGACAGUGAAAAUGAAAAUGUGUGCAUCCUGCGCUGCGUUCGUGUUAAUGAUUCAGUUUGUCUGGAUAUUCGUGGAGGCAGUGAGGCUAAGAGCACCUAUUUCAAACCCACCUGUACGCAAAUUGGAUACUCGGUCAAAUGCAGGCGUUCGCGCCCAAGACGACAACAGAGCGCGACUGGAGGAGCACUCCGGAAAUUGAGGUCUUCCGUCUUUGAUUCGGGCUAAGCCUAGGCAUUACGUCUGAUAUCAAUAUGGGUUCGUCCGGGCAGACUGACGGCGUAAGAUGUUGCACGUCUAUCCGCAGAACGUGUUCUCGAGGACUUCCCAGGCCUCGAUUUCCCGUCCCGCAUCGAUUUUCCCGCGGAAACCCGCCUUAACCUGGCCCUGCUCCUGCUCCUUAAAACCGGCUUAACCUCUUUAAUCCCGGAGUCGUGGCCGACGAUAAAUAUUCGCGUGGAGAGGCUCUUCCAUUGUUGCCCUCUGAGGAGUCGACUUCGAGGAGUAUCCCAUUGGACCAUGGUCCAAAAUUUUGAGCAACUUUGCAGGUCCUGCGGACCGAUUUUGAAAUCGAUAGACAAACUAAAAAGAUAAAGAAGACUUUGAGAAUAUGGAGCAAUCCUAAUGCUUGAAAUGGACGCCUCCUAUCAUUGAAAAAAAAAAAAAAGAAUCUUAAAUUUGCCGCUAAGAAGUAUUUUUCCACGCCACUGAGGUGGAAACAUGGCACUUUCCGAAACAAAAUGGUCGUAUAGAUAAUCCAUGAAUUCGUCUAACUUGUCGCUAGCCGGCUGAUCUGACUUAAAUGCAGCAAACAUAUCACCAACCUCAUAAAGGCGCAGAAAAGGUAGACCGAAAACAACAUUCCAAGUCAUAAUUGCUGCGACAUUGUGAAUUUGUCUCCUUUUUCUCUCAGCCGGGAGGGAAUCGGGCGAUCCCCGCAUCUAAUCGAGUUACCCGGAUUAUCCCUGCCGAAUACAACGACUUAAGGGAUGAUCCCCCGUCCGCAAAUAGUGACACGGGGAACGGUGGGGCAACUUACUGAAUGACCAGGGGUUGAACAAAAGGAGGGGUCCGAGGACAAACAAGAGCGGUUGAUUGCGCGCGGACGCGCCGAGUUCGUUGGGAGGGGUUUAGGGCGGUUUACAAGAGGCCGCAUUGUACAUGCAAACAACUUAAUUACUUUCAACAGUUUCAGUCCUUCGCAUAAAUAGUCGUUUCAGACGACGGCAGGGCACGGGGGCCUCGCCAUGCUAGGCUAUACGCCUCAGUUUCGAUGAGCUGAAAACAACCCCCCCCCCCCC